UACCAGCACCCCGAGUGGUCGGGACGUUUAUUGGGCCUAAAGCAUCCGUAGCCGGUUCUACAAGUCUUCCGUUAAAUCCACCUGCUUAACAGAUGGGCUGCGGAAGAUACUAUGGAGCUAGAAGGCGGGAGAGGCAAGCGGUACUCGAUGGGUAGGGGUAAAAUCCGUUGAUCCAUUGAAGACCACCAGUGGCGAAGGCGGCUUGCCAGAACGCGCUCGACGGUGAGGGAUGAAAGCUGGGGGAGCAAACAGG
rnacentral:rRNA from 1 species